UACAGAGGGUGCGAGCGUUGUCCGGAAUCACUGGGCGUAAAGGGCGCGUAGGCGGCCCGGUAAGGUUGCGGUGAAGCCCGGGCCGUCAACCCGGGUCGGCCGUGGCAACUGCUGGCUGGAGCACAGUAGAGGCGGGUGGAAUUCGGGUGUAGCGGUGGAAUGCGUAGAGAUCCGGAAGAACACCGGUGGCGAAGGCGGCCCGCUGGGCUGUGCUGACGCUGAGGCGCGACAGCGGUGGGGAGCAACAGGAUUAC
rnacentral:rRNA from 1 species